GGGUGCGAUCAUACCAGCACUAAUGCACCGGAUCCAUCAGAACUCCGCAGUUAAACGUGCUUGGGCGAGAGUAGUACUAGGAUGGGUGACCUCCUGGGAAGUCCUCGUGUUGCACCCC
rnacentral:rRNA from 1 species